rnacentral:rRNA from 1 species
AGUGAAUAGAUACCCGGGUAGUCCCAGCUGUAAACGAUGCGCGUUAGGUGUAUCGGUGACCACGAGUCACCGAGGUGCCGAAAGGGAAACCGUGAAACGUGCCGCCUGGGAAGUACGGUCGCAAGGCUGAAACUUAAAGGAAUUGGCGGGGGAGCACCACAACAGGUGGAGCCUGCGGUUUAAAUCGGACUCAACGCCGGGAAGCUCACCGGAUAAGACAGCUGAAUGAUAGCCGGGUUGAAGACUCUGCUUGACUAGCUGAGAGGAGGUGCAUGGCCGUCGUCAGUUCGUACUGUGAAGCAUCCUGUUAAGUCAGGCAACGAGCGAGACCCACGCCAACAGUUGCCAGCAUGUCCUCCGGGACGGUGGGGACACUGUUGGGACCGCCUCCG